rnacentral:rRNA from 1 species
UACGUAGGGACCAAGCGUUGUUCGGAUUUACUGGGCGUAAAGGGCGCGUAGGCGGCGUGGUAAGUCACUUGUGAAAUCUCUGAGCUUAACUCAGAACGGCCAAGUGAUACUGCUGUGCUAGAGUGCAGAAGGGGCAAUCGGAAUUCUUGGUGUAGCGGUGAAAUGCGUAGAUAUCAAGAGGAACACCUGAGGUGAAGGACGGGUUGCUGGGCUGACACUGACGCUGACAGCGCGAAAGCUAGGGGAGCGAACGGG